GCUAGUGUCCCUGGGUAAUGUAGGAAAUCUCGCCGUAUAACGUUCGUCAGAGCAGCGGUUUACCGUCCAUAAGUUACUGUACUCGGGCGCUACUAGCCAAAUUGGCGGGUAGGUAUUUUUUUCUACUAGCCAAAAUUAAUUUUCACCCGUGUUUGGCGUGUUGGCGUGUGUUAAUUUAGAGCCCUGGAUGUGUUUAUAAAUGAUGUGGCCAUUUUGUCGAAUGAUAAAGUGAAGUGAAGUAAAAAUGACGAGGGAUGUGGUCUACAGCCUACAGCUACACUUCAAGUGGUUUACAGAUAUUAUGGCUUCAGGUUCGUCACAACUGAAGAAAUCGUUUGAAUGAAAUGUGAAAGCUCCUCACGCUCCCAAAACCUCUUGGGACUGAGAUUAAAAGACAUUGUGGACUAUGAGUGCUGUGGUGGACGGAUGAGUCUCCGUCUCCCAAGACAUUUUCAUUUCCUCAGCGCGGCCAUUUAGAACAGGACAGAGAGGCGGGGAAGGAUCGGCAAACGACCCGGGCCAAAAUCAAACGCGGGUGGCCAGCGUAGCACUCCAGUGCCCAGUCGUUCGAGCCAGUCCUGGGCUGAGCCAUGCCUGUGCACCUAUUGCAUCACCGACCAUCAAAUGCACCAUGUAAUCACAGACUGCGCCCUGGCCCGCCUUCCAUCCUAAUCCUUUUUUUUAGAGGGCGAGGUACUGGAAGACUUUGAUUUUCGCAGACAUUAAAAGUGGCAGAAUGGGACCAGUCCCUGACUAUCUCAAA